CCUUUUAUAGAUAAUUCUGAUGGAACCGUCGAGCACGCGGUCCCGCUUGUUAUGGCACUAAAUUAUUGGAUCAUUAUUGUAGUGUUAGUGGAUCAUUAAUUCUCACUAAUUAUUGUGACACAUAGUUAUCAAUCAUUUACAACAGUUACAGUAUGUUGAGCAGAUUGACCGACUAUAUAUCGGUAGUAUUGAUAUAUAAGUAAAAGAUC
rnacentral:lncRNA from 1 species